UACGGGGGGGGCAAGCGUUGUUCGGAAUUACUGGGCGUAAAGGGCUUGUAGGUGGCCAACUAAGUCAGACGUGAAAUCCCUCGGCUUAACCGGGGAACUGCGUCUGAUACUGGAUGGCUGGAGUGUGGGAGAGGGAUGCGGAAUUCCAGGUGUAGCGGUGAAAUGCGUAGAUAUCAGGAGGAAUACCCAUAGCGAAGGCAGCUCGCUGGGACGUUACUGACGCUGAGGCGCGAAAGCGUGGGGAGCGAACAGG
rnacentral:rRNA from 1 species